GGGGUUGUGGCUCAGCGGUAGAGCACUUGCCUAGCAUGUGCAAGGCCCUGGGUUCAAUCCUCAGCACCA
rnacentral:tRNA from 1 species